rnacentral:rRNA from 1 species
UGGGGAAUAUUGCACAAUGGGCGCAAGCCUGAUGCAGCCAUGCCGCGUGUGUGAAGAAGGCCUUCGGGUUGUAAAGCACUUUCAGCGAGGAGGAAGGGUUCAGUGUUAAUAGCACUGUUCAUUGACGUUACUCGCAGAAGAAGCACCGGCUAACUCCGUGCCAGCAGCCGCGGUAAUACGGAGGGUGCAAGCGUUAAUCGGAAUUACUGGGCGUAAAGCGCACGCAGGCGGUUUGUUAAGUCAGAUGUGAAAUCCCCGCGCUUAACGUGGGAACUGCAUUUGAAACUGGCAAGCUAGAGUCUUGUAGAGGGGGGUAGAAUUCCAGGUGUAGCGGUGAAAUGCGUAGAGAUCUGGAGGAAUACCGGUGGCGAAGGCGGCCCCCCUGGACA